GACGGAGGGUGCAAGCGUUGUUCGGAUUGACUGGGCGUAAAGGGCGUGUAGGCGGUUGGUCAAGUCCGAUGUGAAAGCCCGGGGCUCAGCUUCGGAAGUGCAUCGGAAACUAGCCAGCUGGAGCGCGAUAGAGGAGGGCGGAAUUCCUGGUGUAGCGGUGAAAUGCGUAGAUAUCAGGAGGAACACCGGCGGCGAAGGCGGCCCUCUGGAUCGUUGCUGACGCUGAGACGCGAAAGCGUGGGGAGCAAACAGG
rnacentral:rRNA from 1 species